rnacentral:misc_RNA from 1 species
GAUGAAGAACGUAGCGAAAUGCGAUAAGUAGUGUGAAUUGCAGAAUUCAGUGAAUCAUCGAAUCUUUGAACGCACAUUGCGCCCUUUGGUAUUCCUUAGGGCAUGCCUGUUCGAGCGUCAUUUAACCCCUCAAGCUCAGCUUGGUGUUGGGCGUCCUGUCCCCCCCCGGGGGACUCGCCUCAAAUCGAUUGGCGGCCGGUACGUUGGCUUCGAGCGCAGCAGAAACGCGAACUCGGGCCCGUCGUAUUGGCUCCCAGAAGCUAUCUUCACAAUUUUGACCUCGGAUCAGGUAGGGAUACCCGCUGAACUUAAGCAUAUCAAUAAGCGGAGGA